rnacentral:rRNA from 1 species
AGUGGCGGACGGGUGAGGAAUACGUAGGGAUCUGCCCUUAAGUGGGGGAUAACCCGGGGAAACCCGGAUUAAUACCGCAUGAUCUCGCAAGAGCAAAGAGGGGGACCGCAAGGCCUCUCGCUUUUGGAGGAACCUACGUCGGAUUAGCUAGUUGGUGAGGUAACGGCUCACCAAGGCGACGAUCCGUAACUGGUCUGAGAGGAUGAUCAGUCACACCGGAACUGAGACACGGUCCGGACUCCUACGGGAGGCAGCAGUGGGGAAUAUUGGACAAUGGGCGAAAGCCUGAUCCAGCAAUACCGCGUGUGUGAAGAAGGCCUUCGGGUUGUAAAGCACUUUAAGUUGGGAAGAAAAAGCUUCACCUAAUACGUGGAGCCUUGACGGUACCGACAGAAUAAGCACCGGCUAACUCUGUGCCAGCAGCCGCGGUAAUACAGAGGGUGCUAGCGUUAAUCGGAUUUACUGGGCGUAAAGCGUGCGUAGGCGGUUUGAUAAGUCGAUUGUGAAAGCCCCGGGCUCAACCUGGGAAUUGCGGUCGAUACUGUCAGACUCGAAAACGGUAGAGGGAGGCGGAACUCCAGGUGUAGCGGUGAAAUGCGUAGAUAUCUGGAAGAACACCGAUGGCGAAGGCAACCUCCUGGGCCUGUUUUGACGCUGAGGCACGAAAGCGUGGGUAGCAAACAGGAUUAGAUACCCUGGU